GUUGACAGUGAGAAAGAAUGAAAUUCUUGAACUCGAUCUGCUGGAGAUGGGGAAAUGGGGGUGAUAGGCUUGGGGAGCCUGGUGCAGGAGAGGGAGGACAUGAGAUGAAGAUGUUUCUAUACUUUGAGAUCUGGAGUCAAGUUUAGUCAAUCAUGUCAAUGUUUAUAUUUGUUUCCUCCUGACAGGUCGGUGGUGGGGUGGUGCUUACUAGGAUCCCAAGGGAGCAACUGCAGCUCAGGCUGCCUUCCCAGAGCAGAACCUUUGUGAUUUCUAAGGUCGGCCUCUGAUCAAUUUAAUCAUAGUUUCUGCUUCUUGGCUCUUUGAGAAUUCACUCCAAUGAUCUGAGUGAAGAAUCAAAGGUGUGGAUAUGAUUGUAGCUCUGGAUCAAUUGUGCCUGUCCACCCAUCAACCAAUCCAACCAUUCAUGCACCCAUCCACCUGUCAAAUCAUCCACCCACCCAUCCGCCCGUCCAUGCAUCCAUCCAUCCAGCCAUCUAUCUGUCCAUCCAUCUGGAGGAAUCGAUCCAUUCUUGGCUCUGCUGCUUAUGGUCCUCACGGUAAAGAGAUGAUUCUGACACAUCCCCCAGUCCAACGCCACCCGGACAAGCUCUCAGCCAUCACC